CUUGUUGGUGGGGUAAUGGCCUACCAAGGCGACGACGGGUAGCCGGCCUGAGAGGGCGACCGGCCACACUGGGACUGAGACACGGCCCAGACUCCUACGGGAGGCAGCAGUGGGGAAUAUUGCACAAUGGGCGAAAGCCUGAUGCAGCGACGCCGCGUGAGGGAUGACGGCCUUCGGGUUGUAAACCUCUUUCAGCAGGGAAGAAGCGAAAGUGACGGUACCUGCAGAAGAAGCGCCGGCUAACUACGUGCCAGCAGCCGCGGUAAUACGUAGGGCGCAAGCGUUGUCCGGAAUUAUUGGGCGUAAAGAGCUCGUAGGCGGCUUGUCACGUCGGAUGUGAAAGCCCGAGGCUUAACCUCGGGUCUGCAUUCGAUACGGGCUAGCUAGAGUGUGGUAGGGGAGAUCGGAAUUCCUGGUGUAGCGGUGAAAUGCGCAGAUAUCAGGAGGAACACCGGUGGCGAAGGCGGAUCUCUGGGCCAUUACUGACGCUGAGGAGCGAAAGCGUGGGGAGCGAACAGGAUUAGAUACCCUGGUAGUCCACGCCGUAAACGUUGGGAACUAGGUGUUGGCGACAUCCACGUCGCCGUGCCGCAGCAGGCGAGAGCG
rnacentral:rRNA from 2 species